GACGUGACGGUCGAGAGCAACACGGAGAGGAUGAGCCAAAGCAACGAGUUCACGAAGACGACAACCUUCAGGAACCACGGUGCGAAACCGGGAGGAGCCGGAGGCGCCUCGAACAAAGCCGAGACGAUCAAGAGCGGGAUCGCCGCCAUCGACGACAGCCAAAACGUGCGCCGAGCCGUCGACGGGAUCAGCACCGCUCGCGCCGUCAUCGUGACGGCCAGCGCGAAAAGCCCCGCCAUCAGUUGCGCCUGAUCCGGUACCGUGGCCAUCAGCGCAAGGAAGAGUCCGGCGAAGAACAAGCUCAGGCCGUCGAGCAUUCCGAGCAGGCGGAGCGGCAAGGGUCGACCGCUCGUGAUGGCCCAGAGGCCAGCCAUCACGGAUGACGCCAAGAAGUGGAAGAGAUUGCCGCGGUGAGCGCAUGACGGAAGGGCCGCGAAACCGCCGCCCACGAGAAACGUCGCGUUGAUCAGGACGAAGAAGCCGAACGACAGCAGGAAUACCGUCUUCCCGAGCAACGCGAGCCGGCCCUGCACGAACGGCGAGCCGGCGCCGAAGUCGAUUCCGGCGCAAACGAACUUUCCGGGACCCGACGAGGAUCUCCGCUCGGCCAUGGGGCCCAUCAUAGCGGCGAUUGGAGACGCGCGGACCAACACGGCUAAAUAGUGCUUACGCCCGUCGCUGGCGCCGCGUUUCUCCCCACGGGUUCUCGCGCGUGGAUCGCAGUCGUUCCGGGCCACUGCUACAAGACGCCAUGCCAGAUUCCGUGGUUCGAGUGCUCGUUCUCGCCGCGCUGUCGUUGCCGCUCGCCACCGCCUGCUCGCGUGCUGCGACCGGCACGAGCAGCACCACCAUGAGCCCCACCGCUUCCGGGACGCCCUCGACCGCACCGGAGAAGCUCGCGCUCACGCCACCCAUGGGAUUCAACAAUUGGAAUGCCUUCGGCUGCGACGUGAACGAAAAGCUCAUCAAAGAGACGGCUGAUUUUUUCGUUUCGUCCGGCUUGAAGGACGCCGGCUACCUCUACGUCAACAUCGACGACUGCUGGUCGCUUCGCGAGCGCGGCCCCGACGGCCGGCUCGUGCCCGAUCCGG
rnacentral:misc_RNA from 1 species